rnacentral:rRNA from 1 species
CUUAUGCAUGCAGUCGAACGAUGAGGCCCUACGGGGGUACAUCAGUGGCAGACGGGUGAGUAACACGUAGGUAACCUGCCCUCGAGACGGGGAUAACGGCUGGAAACGGUCGCUAAGACCCGAUAUAGUCUGACCUUCGGGAGAAGGUGAGAGGAAAGGCUUCGGUGCUCGGGGAGGGGCCUGCGGCCCAUCAGCUAGUUGGAGAGGUAACGGCUCCCCAAGGCAAUGACGGGUAGGGGGUGUGAGAGCAUGGCCCCCCACACUGGGACUGAGACACGGCCCAGACUCCUACGGGAGGCAGCAGCAGGGAAUAUUGCGCAAUGGACGGAAGUCUGACGCAGCGACGCCGCGUGGAUGAUGAAGGCCUUCGGGUUGUAAAAUCCUUUUCCGGGCGAUGAGGAAGGACACUAGCCUGGGAAUAAGCGUCGGCUAACUACGUGCCAGCAGCCGCGGUAAGACGUAGGACGCGAGCGUUAUCCGGAUUUACUGGGCGUAAAGCGCCUGCAGGCGGUCAGGUAAGUCGGUUGUGAAAGCCCCGUGCUCAACGCGGGGAGGCCAAGCGAUACUGCGUGACUUGAGGGCGGAAGAGGGGAGUGGAAUUCCCGGUGUAGCGGUAAAAUGCGCAGAUAUCGGGAGGAACACCAGUGGCGAAGUCGGCUCCCUGGACCGCACCUGACGCUCAGAGGCGAAAGCCUAGGGGAGCGAACAGGAUUAGAGACCCUGGUAGUCCUAGCCCUAAACGCUGGAUGCUAGGUGUAGGGCUGAUGAGGCUCUGUGCCGGAGCGAACGUGAUAAGGCAAUCCCGCCUGGGAACUACGGCCGCAAGGCUAAAACU